UGGAAUAUUCGCUGAUCGCGUGAACCAAUAAAUAGGGAGGUCCUUUCGUGAGCUUGAGCAGGCCAACAGUAAGCUGAUUCAACUGAUUGCUUCUGCCUUUUUAGCCACGAUCUCUCCUUUAUUUGCUUUUGCAUUUGCCCUUUUUUUUUUUUUUCUGAAAAGACAGCCACCUAUCAGCAACAGUGUGAAUCUGCAAUUCAGCCAUACAUCUACCAGAUUCACCUCUUCAUUUUUUACUCUCGUCUCUCUGCUCCAGCUUCUGCAGAAUCCAUCCCACUGUAGUUCUUACCUCAACUGCGAUUCUCUCUCUAUCUUCAUCGUUGUCUUCCUCCAAGACUCGCUGCGAUUCUACUCAGAUUAUGCUAAAUGGUUUACAGCUUUUCGUGAAUUGGGAGCUAAUGAUAUCGAGUGGGCCUCAAACUAUAUAGGUAUUAUCUCUGCCAUCUCGGAAAGCUGUAUAUACCAGAAAAUAAAGUUGACUUUAGAUUUUGCCUUUUGCAUGUUCAUGUCAUUUGUCAAGUUGCACUUAUUCAAAUUGUUUAUAAUUAAUGUCAUAUUUGUUUUAUGUACAUUCUAGCUUUACUUCUUUUCCACUUCAUUACUAUUGAAUGUGCUUUGCCUUUUGGCGUUAUUC